UACGAAGGGGGCUAGCGUUGUUCGGAAUUACUGGGCGUAAAGCGCGCGUAGGCGGCUUUGCAAGUCGGGUGUGAAAUCCCCAGGCUUAACCUGGGAACUGCAUUCGAGACUGCAUUGCUAGAGUAUGGGAGAGGGAAGUGGAAUUUCCGGUGUAGCGGUGAAAUGCGUAGAUAUCGGAAGAAACAUCAGUGGCGAAAGCGACUUCCUGGACCAAUACUGACGCUCAUGUGCGAAAGCGUGGGGAGCAAACAGG
rnacentral:rRNA from 1 species